GAUGAACGCUGGCGGCGUGCUUAACACAUGCAAGUCGAACGAGAAAUGUAGACGGACACCUUCGGGCGGAAGCCUUCAUUUCGAGUGGCGGACGGGUGAGUAACGCGUGGGUAACCUGCCUCAUACAGGGGGAUAACAGUUGGAAACGACUGUUAAUACCGCAUAAGACCACAGCAUCGCAUGAUGCGGGGGUAAAAACUCCGGUGGUAUGAGAUGGACCCGCGUUCGAUUAGCCAGUUGGCGGGGUAACGGCCCACCAAAGCGACGAUCGAUAGCCGAUCUGAGAGGAUGACCGGCCACAUUGGGACUGAGACACGGCCCAAACUCCUACGGGAGGCAGCAGUGGGGAAUAUUGCACAAUGGGGGAAACCCUGAUGCAGCGACGCCGCGUGAGUGAAGAAGUACUUCGGUAUGUAAAGCUCUAUCAGCAGGGAAGAAAAUGACGGUACCUGAGGAAGAAGCCCCGGCUAACUACGUG
rnacentral:rRNA from 1 species